rnacentral:rRNA from 1 species
UCCGUCAAGGAAUCCAAAUUGGAUGUGCUUCAAAGUCAACUUGACAAGUUCAAAAUGAAAGAUGGUGAAGGUGUCGCUGAAAUGUACUCUAGGCUUGCUCUCAUCACAAAUGAGAUUGCCGGCUUAGGAAGUGAAGAGAUGACUGACAGAUUCAUCAUCAAGAAUAUCCUAAGAGCCUUGGAUGGAAAAUAUGAUACCGUGUGCACAUUGAUCCAAAUGAUGCCCAAUUACAAAGAUCUCAAGCCAACGGAAGUCAUUGGUAGAAUUGUUGCUCAUGAGAUGUCACUCAAGGAUAAAGAAGAGCUU